rnacentral:tRNA from 1 species
UGGAAGAUAGCUCAAUGGUGGAGCAUUCGGCUGUUAACCGAAGGGUUGCGGGUUCGAGUCCCGCUCUUCCAG